GCCCCCGUAGCUCAGAAGGAUAGAGCAGAGGUUUCCUAAACCUUUGGUCAUCGGUUCGAUUCCGGUCGGGGGCACCA
rnacentral:tRNA from 2 species